rnacentral:rRNA from 1 species
UGGCGGACGGGUGAGUAACGCGUGGGUAACCUGCCUCAUACAGGGGGAUAACGGUUAGAAAUGACUGCUAAUACCGCAUAAGCGCACAGUACCACAUGGUACGGUGUGAAAAACUCCGGUGGUAUGAGAUGGACCCGCGUCUGAUUAGCUAGUUGGUGAGGUAACGGCCCACCAAGGCGACGAUCAGUAGCCGACCUGAGAGGGUGACCGGCCACAUUGGGACUGAGACACGGCCCAGACUCCUACGGGAGGCAGCAUG